AGUGAACGCUGGCGGUAGGCCUAACACAUGCAAGUCGAACGGCAGCACAGAGGAGCUUGCUCCUUGGGUGGCGAGUGGCGGACGGGUGAGGAAUACAUCGGAAUCUACUCUGUCGUGGGGGAUAACGUAGGGAAACUUACGCUAAUACCGCAUACGACCUACGGGUGAAAGCAGGGGACCUUCGGGCCUUGCGCGAUUGAAUGAGCCGAUGUCGGAUUAGCUAGUUGGCGGGGUAAAGGCCCACGAAGGCGACGAUCCGUAGCUGUUCUGAGAGGAUGAUCAGCCGCACUGGAACUGAGACACGGUCCAGACGCCUACGGGAGGCAGCAUUGGGGAAUAUUGGACAAUGGGCGCAAGCCUGAUCCAGCCAUACCGCGUGGGUGAAGAAGGCCUUCGGGUUGUAAAGCCCUUUUGUUGGGAAAGAAAUCCAGCUGGCUAAUACCCGGUUGGGAUGACGGUACCCAAAGAAUAAGCACCGGCUAACUUCGUGCCAGCCGCCGCAGUAA
rnacentral:rRNA from 1 species